CCUACGGGUGGCAGCAGUGGGGAAUAUUGCACAAUGGGGGAAACCCUGAUGCAGCAACGCCGCGUGGGUGAAGGAGCGUUUCGGCGCGUAAAGCCCUGUCAGCGGGGAAGAAGAAACACGGUACCCGACCAAGAAGCCCCGGCUAACUACGUGCCAGCAGCCGCGGUAAUCCGGAGGGGGUGAGCGUUAUCCGGAAUUACUGGGUGUAAGGGGAGCGUAGACGGCGGGGUAAGCCUGCUGUGGAAGCCCGGGGCGCAACCGCGGAACUGCGUUGGAACCUGUUAUGCUGGAGUAUGGGAGGGGUAAGCGGAAUUCCUGGUGUAGCGGUGAAAUGCGUAGAUAUCAGGAGGAACACCGGUGGCGAAGGCGGCUUACUGGACCAUAACUGACGUUGAGGCGCGAAAGCGUGGGGAGCGAACAGGAUUAGAUACCCGGGUAGUC
rnacentral:rRNA from 1 species